CUAGAAACUCAGAUACCACAGCAGGUUGGCUCUCAUGACUUCCCUGUAUUCACGUGCUCUGGUCUUGCCUGCAGGUGUUAAAUGACUAAUCCAGAUCCCCAGCACCACAUCAAGGAGAAGCUUCCUAGGAGAGCUACUGGUGAUGGAACAACACUGGAAGGUGAAGUGUCACAACAAACUGGAAGGUUGUGUAGAAUUAUGCCAGGCCAAGGAAAGGCUUCCAAAGGAUACAGAAAUGAGUCCUAUCAGGAUGAUAUUUGUGAGGCACUGUCUAACCCGAGAGAGUCCUGAGGUGUCCUCCAACAGGAAGAUACCCUGGACCCUGCGGAUGGAUGGUCAGGGGAUGUGAUGUGACUGCCAGGGUGGCCUGGUGACUCCCAACAGACCACAAAUGCUGACUUCAGAAUCUCUGGCACUUUCCAAAAUGUGGCUGAGCAGUAAUUUGGAAGCCUAAAUCCUGACUUCAGGAAUUCAUAAGAACAACCAAUGUUUUAUAAACUCAACAGAAAGUAAAAUAAACAAACCCAGGGUUUUACGCUCCCUCUUGUUAUUUUUAUGGCAAUCUUUCAAACUAGUUCAAAAUGUUCAA